UGGCACCUACGGGACGCAGCAGUGGGGGAUAUUGCACAAUGGGGAAAACCCUGAUGCAGCGACGCCGCGUGGGUGAAGAAGCGCCUCGGCGCGUAAAGCCCUGUCAGCAGGGAAGAAAAUGACGGUACCUGAAGAAGAAGCCCCGGCUAACUACGUGCCAGCAGCCGCGGUAAUACGUAGGGGGCAAGCGUUAUCCGGAUUUACUGGGUGUAAAGGGGGCGCAGACGGCGAUGCAAGCCAGGAGUGAAAGCCCGGGGCCCAACCCCGGGACUGCUCUUGGAACUGCGCGGCUAGAGUGCAGGGGG
rnacentral:rRNA from 1 species